rnacentral:rRNA from 1 species
CUUUUCUAUGGAAGCUUGCUUCCACUGAGAAGAUAGUGGCGGACGGGUGAGUAACACGUGGGUAACCUGCCCAUAAGAGGGGGAUAACAUCCGGAAACGGGUGCUAAUACCGCAUAGUUUUCUUGGUCGCAUGAUCGAGAAAGGAAAGACGGCCUUUGCGCUGUCGCUUAUGGAUGGACCCGCGGCGUAUUAGUUAGUUGGUGAGGUAACGGCUCACCAAGACGAUGAUACGUAGCCGACCUGAGAGGGUGAUCGGCCACAUUGGGACUGAGACACGGCCCAAACUCCUACGGGAGGCAGCAGUAGGGAAUCUUCCGCAAUGGACGAAAGUCUGACGGAGCAACGCCGCGUGAGUGAAGAAGGUUUUCGGAUCGUAAAACUCUGUUGUCAGAGAAGAACAAGUCGGAGAGUAACUGCUCCGGCCUUGACGGUAUCUGACCAGAAAGCCACGGCUAACUACGUGCCAGCAGCCGCGGUAAUACGUAGGUGGCAAGCGUUGUCCGGAUUUAUUGGGCGUAAAGCGAGCGCAGGCGGUUCCUUAAGUCUGAUGUGAAAGCCCACGGCUCAACCGUGGAAGGUCAUUGGAAACUGGGGAACUUGAGUGCAGAAGAGGAGAGUGGAAUUCCAUGUGUAGCGGUGAAAUGCGUAGAUAUAUG